GAUUUUUUGGUAACACUUUAUUUUACGCUGUCUUUGUUAAACAUAUUACAUGUAAUUAUUAUAGUAAUAACAGUUAAUUAUGCAUAAUUACAUGCAACUUAUCCUAAACCAAACCCUAAUCCUAACCCCAACCCUACAGUAAGUACAUGUUGUUGAUGAUUAUUACUUAGUACUUAAAUAUAUAAUUACAAUGUAACAGUGACAGCUUAAAAUAAAGUGUAACCGAUUUUUUUCCUGGGGUGCAUGCCAUACAUCAUGGGGUAAUUUUGAUAUUUGGCUGGAGUAUGCCUUAACUCGCACUGUUGUGAUGCAGCCAAUCCUGGAAUGAGAAAGUGUUUUCUCUUAGGAAAGAGUGAUGUCUCCCUUUGAAGUGGACUUUGAGCUUUGUAAUAUUGUAGACUUUAUUUAUGCUCAAACAGCAACAUUACAUACUAACUAAAGUUGUAUGUAAUAUUUCCUGCAGGCAACACAAUGAAAAAUACUUCUAAAUUGAAGAACAAGAUCUUUUAGUUAUGAAAUGUGGUAGAAUGGCGAAAUAGUAACAAAGCGCAGUUUUGAUCCUAAUGUCAAUGUUAUUAAAGACUUAAACAAUAAAAUCUGAAUGCUGCACAUUAUUCACAUGGAGAUAAUAACAGAAGCCACACCCCUUCUCACACACUGCUUAAACACGGAAGUCUUUUGUUGAGAGAAAAUGAAACUAAGUUGUUGCUGAGCUGUUGAACUUCCCUCACUGUUCGUCUGUACAUGCAGUGAAAUGGCAGAAGCCAGUAUUUCAGUAACACAGGAUCAGUUAAUUUGUUCAGUGUGUCUGGAUCUACUGAAUGAUCCAGUGACCAUUCCCUGUGGACACAGUUACUGUAUGAGCUGUAUUACAGACUACUGGAAUCUGAAGGAUCAGACGAAAGACUACAGCUGUCCUCAAUGCAUACAGACCUUCACUACAAGACCGGCUCUGAAUAAAAACACCAUACUGGCUGAAAUGGUGGAGAAACUGAAGAAGACUAAAGUACAAGCUGAUGUUUCUGCUCAGUGUUCUGCUGGAGAUGUGCCGUGUGACGUGGAUACCGAAAUCAACACAAAACACAAAAAUCAUGACACCGUAUCAGCUGCAGCAGAGAGAAUUGAGAAACAGAGGAUUUUAGGUGAUACAAAGAGAAAAUACCAUCAGAGAAUGGAGCAGAUAGAGAAGGAGCUUAAGGAUCUAAGAGAUGUCAUUGAGUCUUAUAAGCGCUCUGCACAGACAUCAGUGGAGGACAGUGAGAGGAUCUUUACUCAACUAAUCCACUCAAUUGAGAGAAGACGCUCUGAGGUGAUACAGCUGAUCAGAGAUCAGGAAAAAACUGCAGUGAGUCGAGCUGAAGAACGUCUGGAGCGACUGAAGCAAGAGAUUGAGGAUCUGAGGAGGAAAGACGCUGAGCUGGAGAAACUUUCACACACAGAUGAUCACAUCUAUUUCCUACAGGAUGAACCCAGCAUCACUUUUACCCCUCAACUCUCUUUUAAUGAUGUGAGAAAGUCUGUAUCUAUACUGAAAAAAGAACUUGAGGAUUUCUACAAAGAGAUUGACAAGAUAUCUGAUAGAGAUGGCACCACAAGACGUCGCUCGGUGACAGAGCGCAGGGAUCGAGAGGGUACAUAAGGCUGUAUAAUUAAGUGAAGGUAAGGGGGUGCUGACCCAGUGGUGGUUUUAAAGGCCAGGAGCAGAGCUUUAAAUUUGAUGUGAGCUGCUAUAGGAAGCCAGUGUAACUUGACAAAGAGAGGAGUGACGUGCGCCCUCUUUGGCUCAUUGAAGACCACUCUUGCCAGUGCGUCCUGAAUCAUCCGUAGGGGUUUGGUCAUGCAAGCUUGAAGCCCAGCCAGUAGCGCAUUGCAGUAGUCCAGCCUGGACAGGACAAGAGCUUGGACUAGAACCUGCGUAGCGUGCUCAUUUAGGAAAGGUCUAAUUUCUUAAUAUUGUAGCAGAUGAAUCUACAAGAGCAAGCGGUGAUGGCAACAUGCUCUGUGAAGCUAAGCUGAUCAUCAAUGACCACUCCCAGGUUUUUGGCCGUCCUGGAAGGCGUGAUGGUCGAGGAACCUAGCUGAAUGGAAAGGUUGUGCUGAAUCUUUGGCUCAGAUGAUAUGACAAGCAGUUCUGUCUUCGGAAGGUUAAGCUGGAGAUGGUGAUCCUUCAUCCAGAGUGAGAUGUCCCUUAGGCAUGCUGAGAUGCGGGCAGAAACCGUGGGAUCAUCAGGGUGGAACGACAAGUGGAGUUGAGUGUCGCUCGCAUAGCAGUGGUAGGAAAAGCCAUGUUUUCGAAUGACAGAGCCCAGGGAUGUCACGUAUAUCGAAAAGAGCAGUGGUCCAAGCACAGAGCCUUGAGGCACCCCGGGAUCGAGAGGUUGGGGUUCGGAGACGUCACCUCUCCAGGAUACCCGAAAUGACCUACCUGAGAGGUACGACUUGAACCAUAGAAGCGCUGUGUCAGAGUCACCCAUAGCCAUGAAGGUCGACAGGAGGAUUUGGUAAGUGACUGUGUCAAAUGCGGCGGAUCCAGUAAGAUCAGCACAGAGGAUUUGGAGGCUGCCCUUGCCUGCCUUAGGGCUUCAAUGACUGAGAGCAGCGCAGUCUCAUUGGAGUGACCGCUUUGAAACCAUACUGAUUGCUAUCCAGGAGGUUAUUUUGUGUGAAGAAAGAGGAGAGCUGGUCAAACACCACGCGUUCAAGAGUCUUGGCAAUGAAGGGAAGAAGAGAAACAGGUCUGUUCUCUAGCAUAGCGGGAUUGAGUGUGGGUUUCUUCAGCAGCGGGGUUAUCCGAGCCUCUUUAAAUGCUACAGGGAAGGUACCACUGGAAAGGGAUGAAUUGAUAAUGUGGGUGAGAGCAGGGAUAACUGACGGAGAGAUGGCCUGAAGGAGAUGGGUGGGUAUGGGAUCUAGCGGGCAGGUAGUCAGAUGGUUCGAAGCAAAGACCUUGGAAACAUCCGCUUCAGAUAGUAGAGAGAAGGAGGGGAGGGAGCAUGUCUCAGAGGUUUGAGCAAACAACAUAUUCAAUUUCAGAAAUAAUUCUUGUAAUAUAAAAAAAGAAUCUCAAAGCAUAGAAAAAUCAUAUGGAGUGAAUAUUUGUAUGUCUUCUUUUAAUAUUAGAAUUGCAUUCAUUAUGUCUUUUUAUGUUUUUAGUAACAUGCAUCAAAAUUACACCCCCCAAUGAACCAAAGACCAGGCAGGAGUUUCUACAAUAUUUCUGUCAGCUGACUCUGGAUAUAAACACAGUACAUAAAAAACUCCAUCUAUCUGAGAAAAACAGAAGAGUUUCAUGGACUGAUAUAG